GAGUUCCAGAGAGACGAUUGAAGCGAGAGGAUCAACCACGAUUGGCGAAGGGUGAAUCGUCAAGUCGAAGACUGGGAUUUCCACGAAGAACAUUUCGUCUUCUCCGGUUUUUAUUCUCUUCUCUUGUGAUUUGUUUUCCAAAACCAUGAGCGGCUAAACCUUUUGUGUUGUUUGGAUGAGAUGAAACUUUAGUCAACCUUUUGUAUGGAUGAUGGGGUUUUAACCCCUUAAUUUGUUAUCGAGUUUAUUUAGAUUUAUG
rnacentral:lncRNA from 1 species